CAUAUCUCGUCCUAAAAAUAAUUUAGAACGAUUUUUCACGUACUAAUUAACGCAAUUUCUUAAAGUUAUUAGUAAAAUCACAGCUACAAAUUAAAACUGAGUGUUCCACUCAGAAACUGCGUAUCAGCGCGUUAUUGCUAUCUCUGUAGACAAUAUAUUUCAAGAUAUCGAUUUUAAAAAACACCAACUCCAAAAUGUGGGGUGUUCUAAAGAACUUGAUGAAAGUCGUAUUGGUGGAACCUGACGUCACAGAAGAUGACGUAAACGUCCUCCUGUUCGGCAACUCAGGGACCGGAAAUUCAACUGUGAUAAACUCCAUUUGGAACUAUUUCAAAUAUCCCAUUUUCAGAGCAGCCCGAGGAAACAUCGAGACUGUAACACACGACAGUGAAGUUUAUAGUGUAGAUGAAGGCCUCAAAGUGUACAAACUCCCCAUCAAAAUGGACCUCAAAACCUUCAACUUGAUACUGAUUGAUACGCCCCCAGUGGGAAAUCCCAGAGGAAUAGAACAGGACAAUACCAACAUGGAGAACAUUCUAGGGUACCUGGCGACCCUAAAGAAACUCCACGCAGUUUGUUUUGUUUUCAAGGCACAUGAAACGAGGGUCACAAAGUUCAUGGAGUAUUGUCUUAAGCAGAUGUUGACACGACUAGACAGGAGUGCCAAAGAGGAUAUCAUUUUUAUUACUGUCUAUAAUGAAACCUCUAGGUACACAGCUGAAGAGACGAAGCAUCAUUGUUUAGUACCACUGGUCAGAGGUAUUCGGUCAAAUCCUCCACGUAUAAGAAUUGGCUUGAACAACGUCUUCGCUUUGGACAAUGAAGCAUUCCGAGCUUUAUUGAAAAUUCAGGAAGGAAAAAGAUACAAUAGACACGAAUUAGACGGAUUUGCCCAAAGCUGGGAAACCUCGUCGAAGGAAAUUCGCCGAUUGUUGACGUACAUUACAACGUUAGAGUCCCUAGACCUUCAAAACAUAAUCAGUAUUAACGAAGUCAGAUUUCUGGUCGAACAACUCGCGACUUGUAUUUCAGAAAUAUCAGAACGUAUACAAGACAACAUGAAAUCACUCGACACUCAUCAAAAACGUCUCACUACAGAGGACCAACUAAUUCAACAACUAAAACCACAACUAUACACAACCUGCGUUGGACUCGAAGUGAAAAAACUGACCCAACCUGCAACCAUUUGUACGAACCCUAAAUGUACAGAAGUCGUGACGGUCGCUGGGGUCAAACAAUGUCACUACAAACAAUGCCACAGUCCCUGUUACUUACCCGGAAAUAGCGAAACGACAGUCGGCGAUCUGAAACUCCGUUUUUGUUCUUUAAUGUUAAACGACAAGUGCAAGCAUUGCGGCUGCGCCUGGCAAUUCCACAUGAACACAUGCAAUGUAACCCAGAAGAAAGAAUUUCGAAAAGAAGACGAGAUGGUAAAAGACGCUAUCAAAAGCAAGGAAGACUCUCGUAGUCAAAUCGAGAAACUGGUUGCAGAUUUAAACAAACAGAACUCAGAACUGGAAGAAGAAGCCGAAACCAUUUCUAGAAUUAUAGCCAGGUUUUCGUACUUCUUGCAAAAACACGCAAUCUUGCCGUUCAAUGACGCCUACAACGACUUAAUUAAACAGCGCAUCAAAAACGAGAAGGAUCUAGAAAACUCAACUAAUCCAGAAAUGGUUGGAAAACUCGAGAAGCUCUUAAGCCAACACCAAGCCCGGCAAAAAAUCGUCCAAGAAAGCACCAGAAAGUUCCAAAACGAAGCUAGAAGCAGAGAUUUGACUCUUCAAACAAUCAUGAACUGCAUCUGUCGCCUCUACCGUUUGAAACACAUGGGAAAAACCAUACAAGAACUGACACAAACAUCGAGCAUUUGUCGUUACGAAGAAGCCCAGGAAAAUUUCAGCUUGGACGAGACAAUCGCCGAAGAUCAAUAUCAGAAGACGGACGACAGUGAACACGAUGAUGAAGUUAACACUAGUAACGAAAGCGAUAACAGUGACGAACCUGUUAUUAAAGUAACUUAUACAUAUCUAACUAAUGACUCUAGUUCUACGCAACGCUUAAGACAAAAUCCAUCUCCGCAGAGACAUGGAAACCGCCUAAUCAGAAAGCAUUCUUUUCGUCGAUAUAGAAAUCCAGAAGAAUAUCCCCCAACCGAAAAAAAAUCACAUAGAAGGCACUUGGACCAUUCACCAGAUGACCGUGAUUUUAGAAAAUCCAGCUCUGACAAUGACUCGGAUGGUGGUCAUUUUGCUCGAUCUUUUGACAGGAAAAGCAGUACCAAACGUUCACAAAAGCAACACCACGAUCGUUCUAGGAAGUCAGAUCGUGGUAAAAAUGACUCUUUUCGGCAACCAAGAGAUUCAGAAGAGUAUUACAGAAGAAUUGAGAAAAAAACAAGACAAAGAGCACGCGAUGAAGUGGAACAUUCGCCCAGGCGUCAUCGUCACAGAAAUGACAGCUACGUCUCAAAUGAUCAUGAUCCUAUAAAGGGUUAUAGUGCUCGAAGUAAGCAUUCUAGACACGAAGAUCGAUCUGAUACUGAAAGUUCAAAACGAUCUAAGAACUAUGAAUCAGGUGAUGAUCGGUCUACCAAGUUGACUAGAUCUAGACGCAGAUCUGGGGACGAAACUAGAGAGGACCAUUCACCAGAUGACCGUGAUUCUAGAAGAUCCAGCACUGACAAUGGCUCGGAUGGUGAUCAUUUUGCUCGAUCUUUUGACAGGAGAAGCAGUACCAAACGUUCACAAAAGCAACACCACGAUCGUUCUAGGAAGUCAGAUCGUAGCAAAAAUUACUCUUUUCGGCAACCAAGAGAUUCAGAAGAGAAUUACAGAAGAAUUGAGAAAAAAACAAGACAAAGAGCACGCGAUGAAGUGGAAGAUUCGCCCAGGCGUCAUCGUCACAGGAAUGACAGCUACGUCUCAAGUGAUCAUGAUUCUAUAAAGGGUUAUACUGCGCAAAGUAAACAUUCUGGACACGAAGAUCGAUCUGAUACUGAAAGUUUAAAACAAUCUAAGAACUAUGAUUCAGGUGAUGAUCGUCCUACCAAGUUGACUAGAUCUAGACGCAGAUCUGGGGACGAAAGUAGAGAUCCGGGUAACAAAUUGUCUACAAGAUCUUCUGGUCGUGGACAGAAACAAACAGAGUCAAAAACCCGAGGAAAAUCUAGUCAACGUAACGAAUCUUUCAGAGGAGAACGCAGUACCAAAAGAGGUCCGAAAACCCAGAAGAAGCCUAAAUCUGGAGACGAAAGUUAGAAUUCUAAAAUAAAGUGAAUACCAACAAUUUGAUGGUGAUGGUUGUCCAUUUCUGAUCUGUUUAUCUCUCGGUACUUCAAGGGAAUAGUUAGUAUUAUGAGGAACAAUAAAUUUUUAUCUGACCGAAAUUCGUCAACAUGCCGCAGUACAUAAUUAAAGAAAAAGAAGAAAUAGUCACUGAUGGAUACAUUAAAGCCUUAUCGACAACAGAGAAACUCCGCAAAAUUUUGCUGCAGCAUUCCCACAUCGUUCCAUACUCGGCAAGAGCACAAUUUAAAAAUUUUGUGGCAUAUUUAUAAACACAGGUUUUUUCGAU